rnacentral:rRNA from 1 species
UACGUAGGUGGCAAGCGUUGUCCGGAUUUAUUGGGUUUAAAGGGUGCGUAGGCGGCUUUGUAAGUCAGUGGUGAAAUAUGGCAGCUCAACUGUCAGGGUGCCAUUGAUACUGCGGAGCUUGAGUACAGAUGAGGUAGGCGGAAUUGACGGUGUAGCGGUGAAAUGCAUAGAUAUGACACAGAACACCGAUUGCGAAGGCAGCUGACGAAACUGUAACUGACGCUGAUGCACGAAAGCGUGGGGAUCAAACAGG